UACAGAGGUCUCAAGCGUUGUUCGGAUUCAUUGGGCGUAAAGGGCGCGUAGGCGACGGGGUAAGUCGGGUGUGAAAUCUCAGGGCUCAACCCUGAAACUGCACUCGAUACUGCUCUGCUUGAGGACUGGAGAGGAGACUGGAAUUCACGGUGUAGCAGUGAAAUGCGUAGAUAUCGUGAGGAAGACCAGUGGCGAAGGCGGGUCUCUGGACAGUUCCUGACGCUGAGGCGCGAAGGCCAGGGGAGCAAACGGG
rnacentral:rRNA from 1 species